rnacentral:rRNA from 1 species
CGGCGUGCUUAACGACAUGCAAGUCGAACGAGAGGACAAGAGAAGCUUGCUUCUUUGGAAUCGAGUGGCAAACGGGUGAGUAACACGUAAACAACCUGCCUUCAGGAUGGGGACAACAGACGGAAACGACUGCUAAUACCGAAUACGCUUGGGAGACCGCAUGAUCUUCCAAGGAAAGGGUGGCCUCGUACUUGUAAGCUAUCGCCUGAAGAGGGGUUUGCGUCUGAUUAGGCAGUUGGUGAGGUAACGGCCCACCAAACCUACGAUCAGUAGCCGGUCUGAGAGGAUGAACGGCCACACUGGAACUGAGACACGGUCCCAGACUCCUACGGGAGGCAGCAGUGGGGAAUCUUCCGCAAUGGGCGAAAGCCUGACGGAGCAACGCCGCGUGAGUGAUGACGGCCUUCGGGUUGUAAAGCUCUGUGAUCGGGGACGAACGGUCCGUAAGCCAAUACCUUAUGGAAGUGACGGUACCCGAAUAGCAAGCCACGGCUAACUACGUG